UAUAAGCCCGCUCGGGCGCCACGGCCUUCACUCCAGAGCUCAGCAGUGGAAGUAGAGUUGGCUCUUCUCGUCCUCGUCGUCGUCGUCUUAGUGCUAGGGAGGGGUGUUAGGUUUCAGCUAACAAAAUUUCCUCUCCAAAUUUGCAUCGUCAGGGGACAGAACGCCUUCAAGAUGGGGUUUCCGCAACUCAGUCCGGAUCUCAGGUCACAUUGGCAAGCGAUGGAAGGGUCUUACCAAAGAAAACAUCUAGGGCAGAGGUUAGGUUGUCGUAGGGAGGGUCGCAAACGUGGAGCCGUAACCGCCGGCACCAUCUCAAAUGUACGUGGCUCCAACCGAUACAGCCAUUCCCAGCAACGCCUUUUUGCCACCACAAGAACAGGCAAGGUGACUCCUCCACGCACCGGGUGUGACCACUUCGAGUUCCGGACCAGCGGAAACACAUCCUGUUGGACGAUGACGCAGCAUGUCCAGAUGUAAGGACUCCGAGGACCGUGACCCGCCAUCAGAGAUCCAAGAUGUGACAUUGGGUAAGCAGGUCUUUGGGAUACGGAACCUUAUAACUGAACCUGCAUGAUGAGUCUCUCCGGGAUAAGUGACAGAACAAGGGCCUCGUAUAUCUGACCCCAAGGCCAAACCCGCACAAGAUAUCCACACUGAGACGAUGGAUAGCAGGUUCUGGACCAAGAGACGAGUAUACUUGACCCCUAGAGUGCCAAAGAGAUGCCACAGCCCUCAGGUCUCGGUGGAUCAGUGUGAGCCAAACGGACGAGCUCUCAUGGGUCCAAACAGUUGUCAUAAUGUGAAUUUGGCACGGGCCCUGACAGUGCGGCCGCGGUUCGCGCUGGGAAACGGAGCACGAGGUGACUAGUGGCCACCGCCUGCAAAGCACGCGUUGAUCUGGUGCUCGAAGGGUCACACCUGAUACUCUCCACAAGUGCUUGGGAGUAAAAGAAGGGAUGAAGAAUUGGGCAAUAAUCGUCUCAAAAGUCCAAAUAGAAAUGUUUCUUAAUUGAUUAGUUCCAUCCCAAAGUGAACUAUUACUGGCUAAAUCCAAUGUCUGAUUAUCAAGCUACAAAAGCUCCAUUUGGAUCAACAAGAUGGUGCCGCCACCUAUCGGAAUAUAACUAUACGCAAGUUUAUCGAUGUCAAUAAAAGAUAAAAACCCAC